rnacentral:rRNA from 1 species
GAUGAACGCUGGCGGAAUGCUUUACACAUGCAAGUCGAACGGUAGAGGGGGCAACCCCUCGAGAGUGGCGAACGGGUGAGUAAUAUAUCGGAACGUGCCCAGUCGUGGGGGAUAACGUAGCGAAAGUUACGCUAAUACCGCAUACGAUCUAAGGAUGAAAGCGGGGGAUCGCAAGACCUCGCGCGAUUGGAGCGGCCGAUAUCAGAUUAGGUAGUUGGUGGGGUAAAGGCUCACCAAGCCAACGAUCUGUAGCUGGUCUGAGAGGACGACCAGCCACACUGGAACGAAGACACGGUCCAGACUCCUACGGGAGGCAGCAGUGGGGAAUUUUGGACAAUGGACGCAAGUCUGAUCCAGCCAUUCCGCGUGCAGGAUGAAGGCCCUCGGGUUGUAAACUGCUUUUGUACGGAACGAAAAGGUCUCUCUUAAUACGGGGGGCUCAUGACGGUACCGUAAGAAUAAGCACCGGCUAACUACGUGCCAGCCGCCGCCGUAA